rnacentral:rRNA from 1 species
CCUACGGGGCGCAGCAGUGAGGAAUAUUGGUCAAUGGUCGAGAGUCUGAACCAGCCAAGUAGCGUGAAGGAUGACUGCCCUAUGGGUUGUAAACUUCUUUUAUAUGGGAAUAAAAUGUUCCACGUGUGGGAUUUUGUAUGUACCAUAUGAAUAAGGAUCGGCUAACUCCGUGCCAGCAGCCGCGGUAAUACGGAGGAUCCGAGCGUUAUCCGGAUUUAUUGGGUUUAAAGGGAGCGUAGGGGGAUUGUUAAGUCAGUUGUGAAAGUUUGCGGCUCAACCGUAAAAUUGCAGUUGAAACUGGCAGUCUUGAGUACAGUAGAGGUGGGCGGAAUUCGUGGUGUAGCGGUGAAAUGCUUAGAUAUCACGAAGAACUCCGAUUGCGAAGGCAGUUCACUGGACUGCAACUGACACUGAGGCUCGAAAGUGUGGGUAUCAAACAGGAGUAGAUACCCUUGUAGUC